GUGGCCUAGUAAUUAAAUCCUAGGUCCGACUAAUUAAAUCCUAGGCCCAAAUUGAGAAAAACCCAGCGGCACCUCUUCUUCUUCGCCAAAAAUCUCUUCUCUCCUGGCGAGUCGCCGUUUACUUGGCUCGCCGGAGAUUCACCGGCUUCAUUCCCUCCAUCUCCUCCGAUCCUUCUUCUUCUCUUUCGCUACACCAAAUUCCCAAGUCAAUUUCUUGGUUAGAGGGAACAGCAGCGGCGCUCCAAUCCUCUUCCUCGUGGCCUCUCCGGCGGAAACGCCGUCUCGAUGGAACCGUCGUUGGUGAGCGGCGCUGCUGCAUGCGCCGCCGUCUUCGUCUCCGGCCAAACAGCCGUCGCUGCCUGCUCCCUUUUUCCACCGCGUUAAGGCAGCAAACGCUCCUGCCCGCCAUCACCGUCGAUCGGCCUCCGUCGGACGGUCCCAUCCCCUCCGCCGAGUCCUCCGUUGAGCAGCUUAUUCCCAUAAAGCUAAGUCCUCUUUCUUAGUUCAUUUUAAUUAGCCCUUUUGAAGGAUAGAAGUUUCAGAGGAUUCUACUUUAUUGUUGGGAGUGUAAUCGAAAACGGUGGAGGAACCCGUUCCUUGUGUUCAAGUAAAAUUUGAUAGCUAGCAUCCUAUGAUUUUUUUUCAAAUACGGCAGUAGCUAUGUUCAAAGCUCUAUGGUUCUAAGUUCUCGUGCUAGCUAUGAUUUCUUAUCAUGAUGCAGAGGUUGGUUUAGUGAGGAUUACCUCUAAAAUUGACCGUUGCCUUGAUUCCUGCUCCUUGAGCUCCAAAUCCCACACUCCUAACUCACUAUGUUGCUGAAUUUUUGAUGUGGUGUAAGGGAAGGUUGAGGGUGGUAAGGAGGGGUCUUUAUAGGUGAUUUGGUAACUGCAAAAUCUGCAACUCUUGAUCCUCUUGCAGGGACAUUUUUGUUGGUUGUGAGAGUGUACUCGUAUACUCAGGUCUGGGCUGCCUUAUUCUUGUUUUAUCUUGCUGCCAUUCUAACUGCAUUUGGCUGUAUGUGGAGCUUAGUGCUUUAGCUAAUAAAUGGCUUGGUUGCUGUGGCAGGUACUCAAGAAAGGGGCAGAGAUUGUUACUGCAGAUUGUCGCAGCUGGAAGGCAGACAUUGCAGGCUCAUUUGCCCCUUUGCAGCCUGCGGUUAAGGCUGGGAAAGGGCAGGGAUGGAAUAAGGACCCAUCAUGUCCGGCUGCUACCUUGAUGUUCUGAUCUCAACGGGCUGUCGAAGCUAGGCCGAAAUUCGGGCCUAAGGCAGAGCCCGAGACUUAGCAUUUCUACUUGUAAUAGAAUAGAGUCUUCCCUCUUGUUCUUUUUCAAGCUUUCUCUCAUUUCAAACAAAAAGUAUAGAAUUACUUCUCAAA